GGUUCGAUUAUGGCUUCAGAUUGAACGCUGGCGGGAUGCUUUACACAUGCAAGUCGAACGGCAGCACGGACUUCGGUCUGGUGGCGAGUGGCGAACGGUGAGUAAUGUAUCGGAACGUGCCUAGUAGCGGAGGAUAACUACGCGAAAGCUGUAGCUAAUACCGCAUACGCCCUUCGGGGGAAAGCGGGGAUCUUCGGGCCCCCGACUAUUAGAGCGGCCGAUAUCGGAUUAGCUAUUGGUGGGGUAACGGCUCACCACAAGGACGAUCCCGUAGCUGGUUUGAGAGGACGACCAGCCACACUGGGACUGAGACACGGCCCAGACUCCUACGGAGGCAGCAGGGGAAUUUUGGACAAUGGGGGAAACCCUGAUCCAGCCAUCCCGCGUGUGCGAUGAAGGCCUUCGGGUUGUAAAGCACUUUUGGCAGGAAAGAAACGGCACGAUAAUACCCCGUGCAACUGACGGUACCUGCAGAAUAAGUACCGGCUAACUACGUGCCAGCAGCGCGGUAAUACGUAGGGUGCAAGCGUUAAUCGGAAUUACUGGGCGUAAAGCGUGCGCAGGCGGUUCGGAAAGAAAGAUGAAAUCCCAGAGCUUAACUUUGGAACUGCAUUUUUAACUACCGAGCUAGAGUGUGUCAGAGGGAGGUGAAUUCCGCGUAGCAGUGAAAUGCGUAGAUAUGCGGAGGAACACCGAUGGCGAAGGCAGCCUCCUGGGAUAACACUGACGCUCAUGCACGAAAGCGUGGGGAGCAAACAGGAUUAGAUACCCUGGUAGUCCACGCCCUAAACGAUAUCAACUAGCUGUUGGGGCCUUCGGGCUCGGUAGCGCAGCUAACGCGUGAAGUUGACCGCCUGGGGAGUACGGUCGCAAGAUUAAAACUCAAAGGAAUUGACGGGGCCCGCACAAGCGGUGGAUGAUGUGGAUUAAUUCGAUGCAACGCGAAAACCUUACCUACCCUUGACAUGUCUGGAAUCCCGAAGAGAUUUGGGGAGUGCUCGCAAGA
rnacentral:misc_RNA from 1 species